AGAGUUUGAUCCUGGCUCAGAUUGAACGCUGGCGGAAUGCUUUACACAUGCAAGUCGAACGGCAGCACGGACUUCGGUCUGGUGGCGAGUGGCGAACGGGUGAGUAAUAUAUCGGAACGUAUCCAAUAAUGGGGGAUAACUAAUCGAAAGGUUGGCUAAUACCGCAUACGCCCUACGGGGGAAAGCUAGGGACCUUCGGGCCUGGCGUUAAUGGAGCGGCCGAUAUCUGAUUAGCUAGUUGGUGAGGUAAAGGCUCACCAAGGCGACGAUCAGUAGCUGGUCUGAGAGGACGACCAGCCACACUGGAACUGAGACACGGUCCAGACUCCUACGGGAGGCAGCAGUGGGGAAUUUUGGACAAUGGGCGCAAGCCUGAUCCAGCCAUUCCGCGUGAGUGAAGAAGGCCUUCGGGUUGUAAAGCUCUUUCGCAAGGGAAGAAAACUUAGAUACUAAUAUUAUCUGAGGUUGACGGUACCUUGAUAAGAAGCACCGGCUAACUACGUGCCAGCAGCCGCGGUAAUACGUAGGGUGCGAGCGUUAAUCGGAAUUACUGGGCGUAAAGCGUGCGCAGGCUGUUUUGUAAGUCAGAUGUGAAAUCCCCGAGCUCAACUUGGGAACUGCGUUUGAAACUACAAGACUAGAAUAUGUCAGAGGGGGGUAGAAUUCCACGUGUAGCAGUGAAAUGCGUAGAGAUGUGGAGGAAUACCAAUGGCGAAGGCAGCCCCCCUGGGAUAAUAUUGACGCUCAUGCACGAAAGCGUGGGGAGCAAACAGGAUUAGAUACCCUGGUAGUCCACGCCC
rnacentral:rRNA from 1 species